rnacentral:lncRNA from 1 species
GAAUCAGAUCUAAAAGCUCUAAGUUGAAGUAUUGCUUCAUACCUGAGUUUCUCUGAUCUAGAUUAGCAUUCGGGGACCCUCCGUAAGUGCCGUUUGAUAUCCCGUGAUCUUUAGCAUUAUCUGGUUAUUAUACAAGAACUUCAAAGCAAUCUCAGCAUAUGGACACAUUGAUUUACAUGAACAUUUCUGCUGCAUAUGAGAUGAUGCAUAGGACUUAUCAAGACAUACUUAGGCGGACCUGUGCCUUAGUGACUUAAAACGAGACAAGAACUAGUUAAUUUAUGUUAUGUAUUCUUUGGUUCUCGUUUAAGACAAUGUAAACUUUCAUGUUUGAUUAAUAAAACGAAGCUUCGU